rnacentral:rRNA from 1 species
GGGCAACCUGCCCUUUGCACUGGGAUAGCCUCGGGAAACCGAGGUUAAUACCGGAUACUCCAUAUUUGUCGCAUGGCGAAUAUGGGAAAGCUCCGGCGGCAAAGGAUGGGCCCGCGGCCUGUUAGCUAGUUGGUGGGGUAGUGGCCUACCAAGGCAAUGAUGGGUAGCCGGGUUGAGAGACCGACCGGCCAGAUUGGGACUGAGACACGGCCCAGACUCCUACGGGAGGCAGCAGAU